CAAUAGCGUAUAUUUAAGUUGCUGCAGUUAAAAAGCUCGUAGUUGGAUUUCGGGUGGGAAUGGCCGGUCCGCCGUUUCGGUGUGCACUUGCUACGCCCACCUUGCUGCCGGGGACGUGCUCUUGAGUUCACGCUCGGGACACGGAGUCGGCGAGGUUACUUUGAGUAAAUUAGAGUGUUCAAAGCAGGCCUACGCUCUGAAUACAUUAGCAUGGAAUAACACGAUAGGACUCUGGCCUAUCUUGUUGGUCUGUAGGACCGGAGUAAUGAUUAAGAGGGACAGUCGGGGGCAUUCGUAUUUCAUUGUCAGAGGUGAGAUUCUUGGAUUUAUGAAAGACGAACUACUGCGAAAGCAUUUGCCAAGGAUGUUUUCAUUAA
rnacentral:rRNA from 1 species